UACGGGGGGGGCAAGCGUUGUUCGGAAUUACUGGGCGUAAAGGGCUCGUAGGCGGCCAACUAAGUCAGACGUGAAAUCCCUCGGCUUAACCGGGGAACUGCGUCUGAUACUGGAUGGCUAGAGGUUGGGAGAGGGAUGCGGAAUUCCAGGUGUAGCGGUGAAAUGCGCAGAUAUCAGGAGGAACACCGGUGGCGAAGGCGGGUCUCUGGGCCGAUACUGACGCCGAGGAGCGAAAGCGUGGGGAGCGAACAGG
rnacentral:rRNA from 1 species